AUUGAACGCUGGCGGCAGGCUUAACACAUGCAAGUCGAGCGGAGAUGAGGUGCUUGCACCUUAUCUUAGCGGCGGACGGGUGAGUAAUGCUUAGGAAUCUGCCUAUUAGUGGGGGACAACAUUCCGAAAGGAAUGCUAAUACCGCAUACGCCCUACGGGGGAAAGCAGGGGAUCUUCGGACCUUGCGCUAAUAGAUGAGCCUAAGUCGGAUUAGCUAGUUGGUGGGGUAAAGGCCUACAAAGGCGACGAUCUGUAGCGGGUCUGAGAGGAUGAGCCGCCACACUGGGACUGAGACACGGCCCAGACUCCUACGGGAGGCAGCAGUGGGGAAUAUUGGACAAUGGGCGGAAGCCUGAUCCAGCCAUGCCGCGUGUGUGAAGAAGGCCUUUUGGUUGUAAAGCACUUUAAGCGAGGAGGAGGCUACCUGGAUUAAUACUCUAGGAUAGUGGACGUUACUCGCAGAAUAAGCACCGGCUAACUCCGUGCCAGCCGCCGCAGUAAAAC
rnacentral:rRNA from 1 species